rnacentral:lncRNA from 1 species
CUAGGGUCUUUCCUUAGAUUUUUCGACGUCCUAAAUCUGUUUAUGUGCUUAGGUGCGUUUGUUAGUAACGUUUCAAUCCUCCCUAGUUCGAAUGACUCUUCAGUGAUGGAGUAUCUGUGAGUGGACCCUUCCAAAAUGCGUGAUUUAAUUACUAGAAAUGCAUACUUGAAAAACAUGAUUUUUUUACUACAUUUUACGAAACAGUUAUGGGUAAAUUGGAUUUACGCUUUAUGAAAUAUCAUGCCUUAUCGAAUUUAUGUUUACUGAGAUAUAUAUGAUUAUGAUUUAUGAUAUGAUGUUUGAGCUAUUG